rnacentral:rRNA from 1 species
AUUGAACGCUGGCGGCAGGCCUAACACAUGCAAGUCGAGCGAGCGGCGGACGGGUGAGUAAUGUAUGGGGAUCUGCCCGAUAGAGGGGGCUAACUACUGGAAACGGUGGCUAAUACCGCAUACUAUCGGUUGACCCCAAAUGGGAUUACCUAGUGGGGGGGGGAAGGGCUCACCUAGGCGACGAUCUCUAGCUGGUCUGAGAGGAUGAUCAGCAACACUGGGACUGGGACCCGGCCCAGACUCCUACGGGAGGCAGCAGUGGGGAAUAUUGCACAAUGGGCGCAAGCCUGAUGCAGCCAUGCCGCGUGUAUGAAGAAGGCCUUAGGGUUGUAAAGUACUUUCAGCGGGGAGGCGUUACCCGCAGAAGAAGCACCGGCUAACUCCGUGCCAGCAGCCGCGGUAAUAC